GGUUUCAUAGCAUAAUGGUUAUAACGUCUGCUUUUUUUCACGCAGAAGGCCCAGGGUUCAAUCCCCAGUGAAUCCA
rnacentral:tRNA from 1 species